GAUGAACGCUAGCUACAGGCUUAACACAUGCAAGUCGAGGGACCGGCGCACGGGUGCGUAACACGUAUCCAACCUGCCCUUUACUCGGGGAUAGCCUUUCGAAAGAAAGAUUAAUACCCGAUAGAAAGGAUGGGGAUGCGUUCCAUUAGGUUGUUGGUGAGGUAACGGCUGACCAAGCCUUCGAUGGAUAGGGGUUCUGAGAGGAAGGUCCCCCGCAUUGGAACUUAGGCACGGUCCACACUCCUAGGGGAGGCAGCGGUGAGGAGUAUUGGUCGAUGAGCGCUAGCCUGAACCAGCCAAGUAGCGUGAAGGAGGAAGGCUUAUGGGUCGUAGACUUCUUUUGUAUAAGAAUAUGUAUUAUAUGAAUAAGGAUCGGCUAACUCCGUGCCAGCAGCCGCGGUAAUUC
rnacentral:rRNA from 1 species